AUCAAUCUGGAUCCUCUGAAAGGGGUAUUGUGGCUUGGCUAGGUGAUUAGGUGCGGUCUUUAUAAUCUUUCCAGGAUUGCAUUUAGCACAUAUAGUACAAGAUUUACAGUAAUUCUGUGUUAAGGUAGUGAUGCCUGGUGCUUCAAAAUACUUGUCAAUCAAUGAGUUCAUCAGAUGUUUUGACAGGUGGGCUGGCCCAUGGGCCCAUUGGACCACCGCUGGAUACAUAUUUCUGGGUAGGCAAAACUUGAGAUUGAUAGUGUAAACAUCAUCACGGAGUACAGCUCCUUUGUUCUUCCAACUUUGUUUCUCCUGGGGAGUAGCAGCAGCUUGUUGUUCCUUCAGAAGCCUAAGAUCCGUAGGCAGUGUUUGCAUAGUGUAGAUGGGUACUGCAUCUGUGGCCACUCUUCUGUCCACUUCCCAUCCUUGUCGUGCUGCUUCCUUAGCGGCCUGAUCAGCUAAGUGGGGAAAUAUCAGGGUCACAGUCUAUGAUGAGUGGGUCCUCACAGACGUCUGUGUGGUACCUAGGGUACCCUGCUGUACAGUAGUUAAUAGUCUUUUUGCUGGUCCCCAUAGAAGUCAGUUGUUCUUGGUUCAUUUGACUCCAGGUCUUGGCCAUCGGGCCUAGGUCUUUCCAUGAGGUGUCAGGGG